rnacentral:rRNA from 1 species
AUUGAACGCUGGCGGCAUGCCUUACACAUGCAAGUCGAACGGUAACAGGUUAAGCUGACGAGUGGCGAACGGGUGAGUAAUAUAUCGGAACGUGCCCAGUCGUGGGGGAUAACUGCUCGAAAGAGCAGCUAAUACCGCAUACGACCUGAGGGUGAAAGCGGGGGAUCGCAAGACCUCGCGCGAUUGGAGCGGCCGAUAUCAGAUUAGGUAGUUGGUGGGGUAAAGGCCCACCAAGCCAACGAUCUGUAGCUGGUCUGAGAGGACGACCAGCCACACUGGGACUGAGACACGGCCCAGACUCCUACGGGAGGCAGCAGUGGGGAAUUUUGGACAAUGGGCGCAAGCCUGAUCCAGCCAUGCCGCGUGCGGGAAGAAGGCCUUCGGGUUGUAAACCGCUUUUGUCAGGGAAGAAAAGGUUCUGGUUAAUACCUGGGACUCAUGACGGUACCUGAAGAAUAAGCACCGGCUAACUACGUGCCAGCAGCCGCAGUAAUAC